AUUGAACGCUGGCGGAAUGCUUUACACAUGCAAGUCGAACGGCAGCACGGACUUCGGUCUGGUGGCGAGUGGCGAACGGGUGAGUAAUACAUAGGAACGUGCCCAGUCGUGGGGGAUAACGUAGCGAAAGCUACGCUAAUACCGCAUACGAUCUACGGAUGAACGCAGGGGAUUGCAAGACCAUGUGCUACUAGAGCGGCCGAUGGCAGAUCAGGUAGUUGGUGGGAUAAAAGCUUACCAAGCCGACGAUCUGUAGCUGGUCUGAGAGGACGAUCAGCCACACUGGGACUGAGACACGGCCCAGACUCCUACGGGAGGCAGCAGUGGGGAAUUUUGGACAAUGGGCGCAAGCCUGAUCCAGCAAUGCCGCGUGCAGGAUGAAGGCCUUCGGGUUGUAAACUGCUUUUGUACGGAACGAGAAGACUCUGGUUAAUACCUGGGGUCCAUGACGGUACCGUAAGAAUAAGCACCGGCUAACUACGUGCCAGCCGCCGCAGUAA
rnacentral:rRNA from 1 species